rnacentral:rRNA from 1 species
GUAGGGGUGCAAGCGUUAUCCGGAAUCAUUGGGCGUAAAGAGCUCGUAGGGCGGUUCAGCAAGUCGGGCUGUGAAAUCCCGAGGCUUAACCUCGGAACUGCAGUCGAUACUGCUGUGACUAGAGUCCGGUAGAGGAGAAUGGAAUUCCCGGUGUAGCGGUGAAAAUGCGCAGAUAUCGGGAGGAACACCAGUAGCGAAGGCGGUUCUCUGGGCCGGUACUGACGCUGAGGAGCGAAAGCGUGGGUAGCAAACAGGAUUAGAUACCCUGGUAGUCCACGCCGUAAACGUUGGACACUAGGUGUGGCGUUCCGACCAACGGGUGCCGUGCCGAAGCUAACGCAUUAAGUGUCCCGCCUGGGGAGUACGGCCGCAAGGCUA